GGGGCUAUGACCGAAGGGCUUCUUUUCUUCUGCCUCUAAUCAAAUAGGAACUGAAAUGAAUUAGAGUUUUCUUAUGAAAAUAGCCUUUGUUGUCAGGCAGGCCGGUAAUUCAUAAACAAUAAGCAACGUCAUUGUGUGGCUAGUAAUAUAUUCAUGCUGUGGAAAGGCUAGAAGGCAGUGCAGGACUAUGGCUCUGUGAAUGAGGGGAGGGAAGGAUUGGUCCUGGACUCUUCAUUUGCAGUCUGCACGGUGGGUGGUUCUGGUAACCAUCAGUUUCUCUCCGUCUCUCUCCAUUUCUCUCAUGCUCCUGGCAUGGUCUCCUCAUGCUCCUCAUUUCUUCAACAAUUCUUUCAUUGCCAUCUUUCUUCUUCCUGCAGUUGCUGGCUCGUUUCGACCUUUCUCAAAGGCCUUUCGCUCUUCCCCUGUGUUCUGACCUGUCAGGGUUUUCCCCUCCCCUCUUUUUUAAACUGAGCAAAGCUGUAUAUUCUUGAGAACUUCUGGACGUGGUUGGAUUCUGCUCUCAAACUCUUCUCUCUUGGGAAAAGCAGUGGAUUAUUUGAAGUAGGAGGGUAUUGCGUGAAGAGUUGUGGUCAGAGGGCAACUGGACACCAGCGAGUUGGAUCUUGAACCUCAGGAUUGUCACUGAGCAGAAAAGAAAGUGUCUAUUUGAUUAUUAAGUAUUAGUUUUGUACCUUCGGUGGAGCUGGCUAUCUAUCGUGUCACUUGGACAUUACGUUUUUCAGCGUGAAUUUGCUGUCAUCACUUAAUUUUCUACUUAGUAAUUAGUCGUGGAGAUAAAUGUAUAUGGAUUUUUUUUUGUCAAGGCUGUUUCCAUCUUAUGUUACAUGGAAAAACAAAACAAGAACUCAGGAUCACUAACAUUUAUUAAUUUUUCAGCUGUCAACUGCUCAAAAUUGAGAGCAGCUACUGCAACUGGUGCUAUGAAGACUAAGAUUGUCAUUCCUGGAUUUUUCUUAUUUUCUAUAUAAGAACUUCUGAUGAUGCUGCUUGAUGACACUCAAAUAAAUCACCAGCUAUCAACAAUGGGUGUUGGCAUGGGAACAUGCCCCUGUCUGCUACCUGAAUGGGGACGCAGGGCCUCGCAGUCAAAGGAGCGACCCAGCAGGCUGCACAUUUUUACCUACAGCUGUAUCCAUGACAACACAGUCCCAUGCCCACUACCGGCCUCUACUAUUGAAUAUUUGAUUGACAGAUGUCCAAAUGUCAACCACUCCCUCUCAGAGGUUAUUCCCAUUUCCUGUACUUCAAACUCUGUCUCAGCUGGGGUCAAAGGUUAAAGGGACAGCGCUGUGUUUCACGCCCCUCUCAUCCUCCAUUUGACAGUAAGUACUCUCAGCUCGCUCUUCCGCACCACCACACCUCUCUCUCACACACACUUCAACUGACACGAGCGCUCGGCCACUCAAAUGCACACACAAACAAACACACAUAGUUUUACCUAUUGAAGGGGGCCUUCUCGGACUGAAAUUAAAAUAAUUUGGCAGUUUUCAGUCGUUCCCCCCUCUGGUGGAGAUCUGUUUCUCUUCAGUAUUUCUUCUCUAUUUUUCACAUCAGUGUUGCAUGAAGUCUUUUUUCUCCUCAGUGAUAUUUAGCUGCUGUUUGAGCAGAUUCCACGAAAAGAAUAAUCUCUGGAAUGCAUUUUUUUUUCACCAGAGAGAGAAAAGAAAAGGAAUCUCAGAAAAUGAAAAUUGGUCAAACUCAGUGUCCCCUUUCUAGUUAUUGGAUUAAUGAUUUUUUGAUUCUAUUAUAUCAACUGUGAGUGAGAGACAAAGAGGGAUGAAUUGAUGGAGAGAGAGAGAGAGAGAGAGAGAGAGAGUGCUUAUGGAGGCAGAGAUAUGCUGCUGUUGUUAAUUUUAAAAUUUCUGGUUAAGGCAGCAAAUGUGGUCAAGAUACUUAAUUGUGCUGUUAUGGAGGGAAAAACUGCAUAAUGUUAAAAAACAUCUAGAUAGAUUCAGAAGGAAAUUAAAAAUGGAAAGAGCCCAGAAACCUCCCACAAUUCCAGGUUUCCAUUCUUUAAAGGAAACGGCAAGAUCACUCAAUAAAUAAAUAAUUAAUCAACCAACCAUAAUUUUACGAAGCUACGAGAAUACUUUUUGUGCACAAAAGAACAAUACAUAACAACUUUAUUUAACAAUUUGUCUCCUCCUUGUCACCUUAGUGCCAUUUUGGAGAGUGUUCACUGAACGCAAACAGUGUAUGUUGUUCUGUGUCAGCCGGAAUCACACGGAUAGGUUGUAUUACGUCCAAAUCAAAGCAUAAACAACUUAGAAAAUGUAGCUGCAUAGCGCAAUUGACACAGAAAAGCACACGCUGUAUGCGUUCAGUGGAUACACUCCAAAAUGUUGCUAGGGUUACACGGAGGAGAAAGAUUGUUGAAUAACGUUAUUUAUUUUUCUUUUGCGCACAAAAAGUAUUCUGGUAGCUUCAUAAAAUUAUAGUUAACCCCUUAUAUCACAAUUAUUUGACUGAUUUCCUUGCUACCUUUCUGAACGUUGAUAGUAUCAGAACCCUUGCUGUCUAUGGGAGGGUCAGAGAGCUGUUAGAUUUAAUCAAAAAAUCUUAAUUUGUGUUCUGAAAAUGAACGGAGGUUUUAGGGGCUUGGAACUACACGAGGGUGAGUAAUUAAUGACAGAAUUUUUCAUUUUUGGGUGAACUUAACCUUAAAACUUUGUGCUUACCCUGAAAUUGCUCUAAUUUAAAUCCAUUUUUAAAAUCUGGUCUGCCUGUUCAUUGUGGAUUUAUGUAAUAACCAUCAGUGCAGCACCAAAGCGCUAGAUUUUAUAUUAUACUUGACAAAUCGCAUGAUAAUAUAUUAAAUGGCAUGGCUUCAAAUGUAAUUAAUUUGUGUGAAUGCACAGUUUAUUUAAAAUAACAUUUAUCUUAAUUAUAAAUGUUUUGUCAUGAAGUAAAUCUAUUAAUUAAAACCAUAUUAAGUCAAUAGAGUAAUAGUACUCUCACAACCUUUUUGUUCAGACAGUGAAAUUAAUUAGCAGUUUUAGAAACUCCAAAUGUCUUUUCUGGUUCACUGAGCCGAUCAGCC
ensembl:lncRNA